rnacentral:rRNA from 1 species
CCUACGGGUGGCAGCAGUAGGGAAUAUUGCUCAAUGGGGGAAACCCUGAAGCAGCAACGCCGCGUGGAGGAUGAAGGUUUUCGGAUUGUAAACUCCUUUUGUUAGAGAAGAUAAUGACGGUAUCUAACGAAUCCGCCCCGGCUAACUCCGUGCAAGCAGCCGCGGUCAUACGGGGGGGACAAGCGUUACUCGGAAUCACUCGGCGGAAAGGGCGCGUAGGCGGGAUAGCAAGUCAGAGGUGAAAUCCUAUGGCUUAACCAUAGAACUGCAGUUGAAACUGUUAGUCUAGAGUAGGGGAGAGGUAGGUGGAAUUCUUGGUGUAGGGGUAAAAUCCGUAGAGAUCAAGAGGAAUACUCAUUGCGAAGGCGACCUGCUAGAACAUAACUGACGCUGAUGCGCGAAAGCGUGGGGAGCAAACAGGAUUAGAUACCCGGGUAGUC